rnacentral:rRNA from 1 species
UACGAAGGGGGCUAGCGUUGCUCGGAAUCACUGGGCGUAAAGAGUGUGUAGGCGGUGCUCCAAGUCUGGUGUGAAAUCUCCCGGCUCAACUGGGAGGGUGCGCUAGAAACUGGAAUGCUAGAGGAUGGGAGAGGUAAGCGGAAUUCCUGGUGUAGCGGUGAAAUGCGUAGAUAUCAGGAGGAACACCUGUGGUGUAGACAGCUUACUGGACCAUUUCUGACGCUGAGACACGAAAGCGUGGGUAGCAAACAGG